rnacentral:rRNA from 1 species
AGAGUUUGAUCCUGGCUCAGAACGAACGUUAGCGGCGCGCCUAACACAUGCAAGUCGCACGAGAAGAGGCUUCGGCCUUUGUAAAGUGGCGCACGGGUGAGUAACACGUGGGUAAUGUACCUUCGGGCGGGGGAUAACAUUCCGAAAGGAAUGCUAAUACCGCAUAAGACCACGACCUCGAGAGAGGUUGAGGUAAAAGCAGGCCUCUAUACAUAAGCUUGCACCUGAAGAUCAGCCCGCGGCCCAUCAGCUAGUUGGUAAGGUAAUGGCUUACCAAGGCUAAGACGGGUACCUGGUCUGAGAGGAUGAUCAGGCACACUGGAACUGAGACACGGUCCAGACUCCUACGGGAGGCAGCAGUGGGGAAUCUUGCGCAAUGGGCGAAAGCCUGACGCAGCGACGCCGCGUGAGUGAUGAAGGCCUUCGGGUUGUAAAGCUCUGUGGGGAGAGAAGAAUAAGUCGUGGCUAACAUCCACGAUGAUGACGGUAUCUCCUUAGCAAGCACCGGCUAACUCUGUGCCAGCAGCCGCGGUAAGACAGAGGGUGCAAACGUUGUUCGGAAUUACUGGGCGUAAAGCGUGUGUAGGCGGUGAAGUAAGUCAGAUGUGAAAGCCCCGGGCUUAACCUGGGAACUGCAUUUGAUACUGGAGGGCUAGAGUUUAAUAGAGGGGAGUGGAAUUUCC